AUUUAAAUAAUUUAAUAAAAAUAUUGAUUUGUGGAGUCAAAAAUAUGGUAAAAAUCAUUUUAAAUU
rnacentral:tRNA from 1 species